CAAUCUUUAGGACACAUCACUGUAGAUGGCGAUACAUAGCCUCACGCGUUUCUUUUCCCAAGCGGUACGAUAAUUCAGCAGGAUGACGGAAGGUACAGCUACUAUCAGAACAAGGAAGUUCAUGACUAAUCGGCUUCUAUGCCGAAAACAAAUGGUUGUGGAUGUAAUUCAUCCUGGCCAACCAUCAGUUCGCAAAACUGAAAUACGUGAGAAGCUAGCCAAAAUGUACAAAGUAACCCCAGAUGUUGUCUUUGUGUUUGGCUUUCAAACCAAUUUUGGUGGAGGCAAAUCUACUGGAUUUGCGCUUAUCUAUGAUACUUUGGAUUAUGCAAAGAAAUUUGAACCUAAAUAUAGGUUAGCAAGGCAUGGUCUCUUUGAGAAACAGAAACAAACCAGAAAGCAGCGUAAAGAACGUAAGAACAGAAUGAAGAAAGUCAGAGGUACUAAGAAGAGCAAAGUUGGAGCAGCAUCUAAGAAGGGAAGGAAGUAGACAAAUGAUCAUCAUUUGCACUACAAAUUUCUGGAGAGGCAGUAUCUUUAUGCUUGAUCAGGUAAAAACACAAGACAUCAUGAAGAUGAGCGCUGUUUAUUCAACAUCAACGUAAAUGUUAUUAUCACGAAAUAGCUGUAAUUAUGAUAAGUUUUACGGAAUAAACGUGUAAUCUUUUUGAUGGAAA